AUCUACGCUAUUGCCACGCCAUUAGUGGAUGCCUAGGAAGUGUUGACCGAAGAAGGACGUUUCUACGGCAGCGAAAAUCGUCGGGGAGCAGCCCAUGAUGCUUUGAUCCGGCGGUGUCCGAAUGGGGAAACCCAUGCCGAUGCAAAUUCGGCAUAACCUUUGCCAUGAAGUUGGUUUCGAUUUAUCGAGAUCAUAUUAGUGGCGGGUAGGGAACCCGGUGAACUGAAACAUCUAAGUAACCGGUGGAAAAGAAAUCAAAGAGAUUCCCUUAGUAGCGGCGAGUGAAAAGGGAUCAGCUCAUUCUCGCGCUGUGCGCGAGAGGUGUUGUAGGACGACUUGCUUAAAUGCAAAAGGAUGUUGAAAAAGAUAGUAGAAGGUGCCGGAACUGCACCACCAUAGAAGGUGAUAGUCCUGUAAGCGAAAUUUUUUUCUACGCCUUGUCUGUUCCUGAGUACCAUGGGGCACGAUUAAACCCUGUGGGAAGCCGGGGCGACCAAGCUCCAAAGCUAAAUAUCAGCACUUACCGAUAGUGAACUAGUACCGUGAGGGAAAGGUGAAAAGCACCCCGGGAGGGGGAUGAAAUAGUACCUGAAACUAAUGGCUAACAAGCAGUGAAGGCUUGUGCAUGGCACAAGGCUAAAUUUCUAAUUUCUAAUUAUUCUAAUUUCUAAUCAAGCACCAAUUUUUUAAAGUGUCCAAUUGAUUAGAUCAAUUAGUAAUUAGGUCAAUUAGGUUAAUUUAUCCUCGUGCUGUGCACGAGUGAUCACGUGCCUAUUGAAGAAUGAGCCAGUGAGUUUUUGUUGCCUUCAAUCGGCAGGAGGCCCGAACCCGUUGAUGUAGCAAUAUCAUGGGAUGACUUGUGGUUAGGGGUAAUAUGCCAAUCGAACUUGGAGAUAGCUGGUUCUCCCUGAAAUAUAUUUAGGUAUAGCCUUUAUUUGAUAAAUGUUGGGGGUAGAGCACUGAAUGGUAUCUGGAGAGGAAACUCUUCAGGAUCAAUCAAACUCCGAAUACCAACAUUUUGGAAUAGAGAGUCAGUCCUGCGGCGCUAAGGUCGUGGGUCGAGAGGGAAACAACCCAGACUCCCGUUUAAGGCCUCUAAAUUCAAGCUAAGUUGUUAAGAAAGUCAUGAUCCUCAGACACCUAGGAGGUUGGCUCAGAAGCAGCCAUCCUUUAAAGAAAGCGUAACAGCUCACUAGUCGAUUUGGGAUUGUGGCGUCGAAAAUGAUCGAGGAUUAAGCUUGAUGCCGAAGACGGAGGUGUUCCGGUUUUACGACCGGAAUGCAGUAAGGGAGCGUCCCGCCAGCUUUGAAGGUGAGCCGUAAGGCUUGCUGGAGUAGGCGGGAGUGAGAAUGCUGGCAUGAGUAGCGAUUAUUCCGAUGAGAAAUCGGAACGCCGAAAGUCUAAGGUUUCCUUCGCAAUGUAAGUCAGCGAAGGGUUAGUCGGCUCCUAACGGUGGCCCGUGUGAAACGCGGGGUAGCCGGAUGGACGAGUCGUUAAAAUUCGACUACAGGUUUUGAUGCGUUUACCCCCGCAAGGGGGUUAUCACCUGGGGAUUAACCAGGGUGGAAGAGAUCGCCCCGCUUGCGGGGUUUAAGCCAUAAAAUAGUUUUGAUAGGGAAAUCCGUCAGAAUGUUAAAUUGAGUGGCGAGUACGAGUUUGAAAGGGAAACUGAGUAGGACGAGGAUCUAUCUUUCAGCCUGCGAGAAAAGAUUCACAGGGAGUGUCAAGUCUUGCCGUACCGCAUUACCGACACAGGUAGACUGGUGGAGAACACCAAGGCGAUCGGGAGAAGAAUGUUCAAGGAACUCGGCAAAAAAGCUGGGCGUAACCUUUGGGAGAUGCCCUGCCAGGUACCAGCCGGUAUCCUGGCCGCAGCGAAAGUUUGCUUAGCGACUGUUUAUCUAAAACACAGGUCCCUGCAAAGCCGAAAGGCAAAGUAUAGGGGCUGACACCUGCCCAGUGCUGGUAAGUCAAUGAUGGUGAGUGAAGCUCGUAAGAGUCAGCUCGUUAUCAAAGCUCCAGUGAACGGCAGCAGUAACUAUAACUGUUCUAUGGUAGCGAAGUUCCUUGUCGGGUGAGUUCCGACCCGCACGAAAGGUAGAACGACUGAGCAACUGUCUUGAACAUUUACCCGGCGAAAUUGAGAUGGCUGUGAAGACGCGGCCUGGUUGUCCUAGGACAAAAAGACCCCGGGAGCUUUACUGUAGCUUCGCAUUUGAAAGCUUUUUUCAACUGUCGAGAAUAGGAGGGACCCCGCCGCAAGGCGGGGGGCAGUGAAAUACCUCUCUUUGAAAUGGGUAAUCAUUAUUCUUAUCCCGCAUAAAAAUCCGGGAAGAAAACAGUGCGUGGUGGGCAGUUUAACUGGGGAGGUUGACUCCUAAAUUGCAACGGAGUUGUACAAAGGUUGGCUUAACGCGGAUGGAAAUCGCGUUGUAAGUGCAUAGGCAUAAGCCAGCUUGACUGUGAGACUCACAAGUCGAGCAGGUACGAAAGUAGGUCUAAGUGAUCCUGCGUUCCUUAUUGGUCGGGACGCAGCUUAACGGAUAAAAGCUACCCCGGGGAUACAAUUUACUGUGUCCGGGUCUUAUGGUAACAUAAGGCCAGGCAUACGGCUAAUAACGGUGGAGCCCUCUUGCUUUGGUUU
rfam:Microgenomates bacterium GW2011_GWC1_39_7 TT57_C0068, whole genome shotgun sequence.